UGACUUUGUUAUGGCAAUGUGAAAAUGUUUUCAUUUCCUUCUUUUCAUAGCACAAAAGACUAAAUCAAAACUGUCAGUUUUAAUAGCUAUGACAGGGUUUAAUAGAGCAUACAAGUAACCAGUAAUUUUCCUGUGAAUUGUAAUGGUAAUUAGUUUUAUGAAGAACCAAAGUAUUUUAAAUGUUAUACUAUUGUAUUUUAUGUUUGAAUGAGAUUACAACUUAGAAAUUGGUAACUUGUGAUUCAAAGAUUUUAAAAAUUAACUAUUCACAUAGGAGCUUUUACAACACCAAACUAUUAAUUUGACCCCUCACCAAAACAGGAUUUAAAUCUAGUUCCCCUCUCAAUUUAAAAGUGAUUUGAUGUAAUCAUACAUGUGCAUGACAGUGUAUGUAAAAAGAUAAUUAUUUCAUUUUUGAAGUAGCAAAAGACUGGAAAUGACCAUUAAUAGAGAAUCCUAUAUCUGAUACAUCCAUAUAAUGGAAAACCAUGCAGCUCUCAAAAAGAAUGAGACAGAUUUCUAUGUACUGACAUGAAACAAUAAUCUCUAAGAAUUAAGCAAAUAAAUAUCUUGAGAAUAAUGGGAGCUAGACUCAUCAUCACUAAAGGGAACAAAUAUGAAAAAGGGGAAGGUUAAAAUCAACUCUGCAGUGUUGGAUCAGAAUUAUAGGCAUAAACAAUAUGUAACUCAUACCGUUACACAGACAUAUAUAUGCAUACACAAUACAUAUAUAUAUGCACAUACAUGUAUUUCCUAGCUCUGUCUGCUGAAAGGGCCUAGCAAUGAUACCCCAGUAGCAAGAAACAUACCUAGUAUCUAGAUUCUUGUUUUUAAAUGCCAUUCUGGAA